CUGAAAUCAAAGGGAGGUAUCUUACUGACUUGAAGAAAGAGGCUUUAAUCUAUGGUGGUUUGUUUACUAAUGAAGGAGCACGAAAGAGACGCGUGUCCUUGUCUCUGAAGAGGAGGUGAAGGAACAGCUAGUGCAAGGAACACACAAAUCGGUUGUGCCAGGCUAAUACGUGGUUGUAUCUGAGCUUGGAG